CGCAGAUACCAGCUGGCUGCAACUGUUUAUUAAAAACACAGCACUGUGCAAACACGAAAGUGGACGUAUACGGUGUGACGCCUGCCCGGUGCUGGAAGGUUAAUUGAUGGGGUUAUCCGUAAGGAGAAGCUCUUGAUCGAAGCCCCAGUAAACGGCGGCCGUAACUAUAACGGUCCUAAGGUAGCGAAAUUCCUUGUCGGGUAAGUUCCGACCUGCACGAAUGGCGUAAUGAUGGCCAGGCUGUCUCCACCCGAGACUCAGUGAAAUUGAACUCGCUGUGAAGAUGCAGUGUACCCGCGGCAAGACGGAAAGACCCCGUGAACCUUUACUAUAGCUUGACACUGAACAUUGAGCCUUGAUGUGUAGGAUAGGUGGGAGGCUUUGAAGUGUGGACGCCAGUCUGCAUGGAGCCAACCUUGAAAUACCACCCUUUAAUGUUUGAUGUUCUAACGUGGCCCCAUCAUCUGGGGUGCGGACAGUGUCUGGUGGGUAGUUUGACUGGGGCGGUCUCCUCCCAAAGAGUAACGGAGGAGCACGAAGGUUGGCUAAGCAUGGUCGGACAUCAUGCGGUUAGUGCAAAGGCAUAAGCCAGCUUGACUGCGAGAGUGACGGCUCGAGCAGGUACGAAAGUAGGUCUUAGUGAUCCGGUGGUUCUGAAUGGAAGGGCCAUCGCUCAACGGAUAAAAGGUACUCCGGGGAUAACAGGCUGAUACCGCCCAAGAGUUCAUAUCGACGGCGGUGUUUGGCACCUCGAUGUCGGCUCAUCACAUCCUGGGGCUGAAGUAGGUCCCAAGGGUAUGGCUGUUCGCCAUUUAAAGUGGUACGCGAGCUGGGUUUAGAACGUCGUGAGACAGUUCGGUCCCUAUCUGCCGUGGGCGUUGGAAGAUUGAAAGGGGCUGCUCCUAGUACGAGAGGACCGGAGUGGACGCACCACUGGUGUUCGGGUUGUCAUGCCAAUGGCACUGCCCGGUAGCUAAGUGCGGAAGAGAUAACCGCUGAAAGCAUCUAAGCGGGAAACUUGCCUUGAGAUGAGUCUUCCCUGACUCUUUAAGGGUCCUAAAGGAACGUUUAAGACUAAGACGUUGAUAGGCUGGGUGUGUAAGCGUAGCGAUACGUUGAGCUAACCAGUACUAAUGAACCGUGAGGCUUAACCUG
rnacentral:rRNA from 1 species